UACGAAGGGGGCUAGCGUUGUUCGGAAUUACUGGGCGUAAAGCGUGCGCAGGCGGCUUCUCAAGUCAGGGGUGAAAGCCCAGAGCUCAACUCUGGAAUUGCCUUUGAGACUGAGUGGCUUGAGUACGAGAGAGGUGAGUGGAAUUCCCAGUGUAGAGGUGAAAUUCGUAGAUAUUCGGCGGAACACCAGUGGCGAAGGCGACUCACUGGCCCAAUACUGACGCUGAGGCGCGAAAGCGUGGGGAGCAAACAGG
rnacentral:rRNA from 1 species